rnacentral:lncRNA from 1 species
GUCGAAUUGCACAUCUAAUGCCAUACUCAGGACAUUCCUGGACAGUGCGGGGGUGUCUGCUAGGCCAGCCCUUCCCAGAAAAGGGCUUACAGGAUUAAUUAUUCUAGACUGUGUCUUCCUCAGGAGGAAAAACCUAUGUACUUACUUCCUUAUGGUGUCUGAGAAAUGAAAUAACCUCUAAAAGGAACUUUGCACUUUUUACUGCACUGCUGCAGAGAGAACAUUGAUUGAAAGGCACAGGCAGGUUCGGGAAGAAAUGCACUCGCUGGAGGCCGGGUCAGGUUUUAUCUUUCCAAACCCGGUGUGCAGGAGCCUUGGUGCGAGACAGACCUGCAUGUGAACAGUACCAGGGAUGGAACUCAGGACCUUGCACUUGUACGGCAGGCGUUGGUGCCACUGAGCUUAAAUUCCCG